rnacentral:rRNA from 1 species
CCUGCGGGGGGCAGCAGUGGGGAAUAUUGGACAAUGGGCGAAAGCCUGAUCCAGUCAUGCCGCGUGUGUGAAGAAGGCCUUCGGGUUGUAAAGCACUUUCAGUGGGGAAGAAAGCCUUGGGGCUAAUACCCUCGAGGAAGGACAUCACCCACAGAAGAAGCACCGGCUAACUCCGUGCCAGCAGCCGCGGUAAUACGGAGGGUGCGAGCGUUAAUCGGAAUUACUGGGCGUAAAGCGCGCGUAGGCGGUCUGAUAAGCCGGUUGUGAAAGCCCCGGGCUCAACCUGGGAACGGCAUCCGGAACUGUCAGGCUAGAGUGCAGGAGAGGAAGGUAGAAUUCCCGGUGUAGCGGUGAAAUGCGUAGAGAUCGGGAGGAAUACCAGUGGCGAAGGCGGCCUUCUGGACUGACACUGACGCUGAGGUGCGAAAGCGUGGGUAGCAAACAGGAUUAGAUACCCCAGUAGUC